CUAUUAUGGAGAGUUUGAUCCUGGCUCAGGACGAACGCUGGCGGCAUGCCUAAUACAUGCAAGUCGAGCGAAUGACGAAGAAGCUUGCUUCUUCUGAUUUAGCGGCGGACGGGUGAGUAACACGUGGGCAACCUGCCCUGUAGAUUGGGAUAACUCCGGGAAACCGGGGCUAAUACCGAAUAAUCCAUUUCCUCACAUGGGGAGAUGUUAAAAGACGGUUUCGGCUGUCACUACAGGAUGGGCCCGCGGCGCAUUAGCUAGUUGGUGAGGUAACGGC
rnacentral:rRNA from 1 species